CACCCCAUGGCAAAGUCUGCAAGGAGUUAAGAUUGCAGGGGAGAGCCGGAGGAGCAAGCGCGGUCAAUUUUGUUGUUUAAGCUGCGAAAACAAAGUUACAGACUAACUGCUUUGAUUUGGUUUUCAGCGAAAUGACAGAUAGCCAGAAAGAAAGCGGCGGGUCCAAGGCGAGGAGCUGGGGACUUUUAUCCAUUCUUCUUUAACGUUACUGUUACUGAGCCUUAGCUCCAGCUCCCGGAGGCUGGGCUCGAUCUUUGAGGAGCUCGUGAGCUGCUGCAACUUAGUGGAGAAUUUCCAUGCCACGUCAAUUUACAGCCAGCCAGCCCCCGACCAGAGUUCUGCGGCUCAGGGCACCGACGGGCUUUGUCUCACCCAGUUGGCUGAAUGGAAAAGAGGUGUCCAGAAACGGAAUUAAAGACAAAAGUGCAACUCUGGUGUGAUUAUCUACGGAUAGAAGAUAAAGUCAGUCAAAGUGAUGCGGUUCUUUCUGUUUCUUCUGGGGGACAUCUGCCACAGGAUGGCUUUCAAGACUGGGAGAGAACUGGUGUUCUGCCCUAGCACCCGGCCUGCAGAGAGCAAUGCUCCUAUGAGACAGAGCUGGCGUCAGGAUUGGAAGGAAGUGAUUUCGGCACCACUUCAACUAUUUACAAAAUCAACCCUGAUCUCCUUUGAGAACCUGGAGAGUGCCAGUGGAUGGACUGUUGUGCUGUUAUACAGUAGCAAUGGAAUCUUUGCUGGUCACUGGCACCAAUUACGGUAUUGGAGAGUUGUUUAUUAAGUAUCCACUACCUUUAUCAAGUGCCUGCCACUUCCAGGUACUUAAAAAGCACUGGAUACAAAAGAUGACUCAACAGGAACAUAUGGGACGAUAUCCUGGAUGGUUUCGAGGGAUCGUUUCCUGAGCCCUGAGGUUUGAUGAAGAUGUCCCAUUUAGGACUGAGUGUUCCACAGCCUCUCAUCCUCUGCACACUGUUCACUCAUGGCUAUCUAUACAAGCUCUCAUCUGUAGGAGGACACUUUUCUGAUGCUGGCUCAGUGAGACACUGAUCUAUGCAUACAGCAGAAUGUUGUUAGGCGUCAUUUUAUUGUUAUUGUCCUUCUAGCAGAACAGUAGUGUUUGGUUUGCUCCUGGGUCCAUGCCUGUCUAGUCUCAGGUUCUUGGCCAACUGAGAAGUGUCAGGGACUGGCUUUAUUUCAUGGAGUGGUCCCUAAAUCCAACCAGACAGUGGUUGGUUACUCCCACAUCUUGUGUGGCAUUGUUGUACCAGCAUAUCAUGCAGAGAGGCCAUCAUUGCAUAAGGAAAGGUUUGUAACUGGCUUGGUGUUUAGCUUUAUCCUCUAGUCAGUGCAGAGUACCUUCCAGGACCAUGAAUGCUAGUGAGCAGACAACCCUCUACUUUUAGUUUUAUCUACUUUCUACUUGCCUUUUGCAAAUUUGCAGAUCAACUAGAACACACAGACUGACUACGCCGUGGACGUUUGUUUCACCUUCUGUAGUUCCUGUAGAGAACGCCAUCAGUCUAUCUUCUAAAUCAUCCCAAAAAGCAUAUCCAACUCACCACAAGUCUUUACACACCAUGCAGAAGUCAAAAGGAAUGAACAAUAUGGUUGAAUCUUAGGAAGAAAAUGUUGAAUUAGAAAGGUAAGAUAGAGACUACGUGCCCCGCUGUCUUUUAAAAUGGUAAUUAAAUAUAGGCAGUGUUACUCAAAUGCAUUGGUGCUAUACAGGAACGUGAAUGUGUAAGUAAAACCUCAGGGCAGGCUGUGCAGUGGUGUAGCUUCCCCCAGCCUGAAGCGGGCUGGUACAGACUAGUCUGCCACUGAGGUGGGGCCACCUGUGGUGCAGCUGUCCGACCUGGCUGGCUUCUUUCGAAGUGACAACUGCCCUGCUCUUCUGCUACCUGCUGAGAAGCUGAACCCGUUUUCCUGAGAAUUUCCGGAAUAAGCGGCCAGCCUGGCCACCGAGUGCUGACGAAAUGGCUCCAGGCACCAAGUGUGGAGCCGGCAGACUAGUGCUAACAACUUGGCAACAAUACAUCAAGAAGCCUGGCGGGGGUGGGUGGGGGGGGUGGGGGGGCGAUGGGCCUUCCCCCUUAUAAGCACGGUCUCUUAAUAAACUCGUGGGCCUUGAUCAGG
rnacentral:lncRNA from 1 species